AUGCUGCAGGUGGCAAGAAGAGGUGGCUGCUUUUAGAGACCUGAGAAAGGAGGACAGGAUCUUCAAGAGUGAUGCUACAUGAGGAGAGGGAAAAUGAUGCUUCUGACUCAGAACCGUUCACCGAAGCUAUCACCUUGUUUCUUUAAGACACAUUCUCGGAUUGACCUGGAAGUCAUCAAGCAGGCCCACUGGCUGGCCGUUUCAGUCCAGCUCAGGGAGCUGUGUGUCCAUGAUGAGGCAGAGGAUCACCACAAGCAACAUGUUGCUGAAGAAAGCAGCUUCCUCAUGUCAACAGGAAGGAUAAAGAGAAGACAAGGGGGAUGAAACAGCCCACAGCUUCCCAGAGGCAUGCCCACACUG